rnacentral:rRNA from 1 species
UACGUAGGGGGCAAGCGUUGUCCGGAUUUACUGGGCGUAAAGAGCGUGUAGGCGGCCAAGCAGGUCCGUUGUGAAAACUGGAGGCUUAACCUCCAGACGUCGACGGAAACCGCGCGGCUAGAGUCCGGAAGAGGAGAGUGGAAUUCCGUAGGUGUGACGGUGAAAUGCCGGCAGAAUGAUCAGGAAGAACACCAAUGGCGAAGGGCAAGACCUCCUGUGGGAAGC